GGGUCAAAGCCCAGAUGGUUACGUUUAGA
rnacentral:piRNA from 1 species